rnacentral:rRNA from 1 species
GACGAACGCUGGCGGCGUGCUUAACACAUGCAAGUCGAGCGGAGCGGCGAACGGGUGAGUAACGCGUGAGUAAUUGCCCCCCUCCCUGGGAUAACAGUUGGAAACGGCUGCAAAUACCGGAAAGUGGGGGAUGACUCGCGUCCUAUCAGCUUGUUGGUGGGGUAGUGGCUUACCAAGGCGACGACGGGUAGCCGCCCUGAGAGGGCGACCGGCCCCAUUGGGCUGAGAUACGACCCAAAGUCCAACGGGAGGCAGGAGUGGGGAAUAUUGCACAAUGGGGGAAACCCUGAUUCAGCACCGCCGGGUUCGGGAUGACUGCCUUCGGGUUGUAAACCGCUUUCAGCGAAGACGCGGUAGUGGCAGAAGAAGCACCGGCUAACUACGUGCCAGCAGCCGCGGUAAUUC